UUCACNAUACUCCGCGGCUCCCUUAGGCAUGCCCGUCGAGCGGAAAGGCCCCUUCGGGGGCNCUCAAGCGGCGAAAGGGUGAGUAAUGCGUGGGUACCUACCCCAAGGUCCGGGAUAGCCGCGGGAAACUGCGGGUAGUACCGGAUGAUAUCCUUCGGGAUCAAAGGUGUGAUUCCGCCCUGGGAGGGGCCUACGUCCUAUUAGCUUGUUGGUGAGGUAACGGCUCACCAAGGUGAUGAUGGGUAGCGGGCGUGAGAGCGUGGCCCGCCACACUGGGACUGAGACACUGCCCAGACUCCUACGGGAGGCUGCAGUCGAGAAUCUUCGGCAAUGGGCGAAAGCCUGACCGAGCGACGCCGCGUGCGGGAUGACGGCCUUCGGGUUGUAAACCGCUGUCAGAGGGGCUGAAAGCCAAGGGAGUUAUCUCCCUUGGUUGACAUACUUCANAGGAAGCACGGGCUAAGUUCGUGCCANCANCCGCGGUAANACAACCGUGCAACGUUGUUCGAAUCCUGGGCUUAANGGUGCUAGCNGUUAAUAAUCGGUGUAAAUCCUCGNUAACCAAGAACUCUCCAUCUGUUGCUCAAGAANAGGCCUUAACUNGNUNACCNAN
rnacentral:rRNA from 1 species